rnacentral:lncRNA from 1 species
AAUUUGAAGUGCCUGACUGGGUGGCCGGGAGACGGAGUCUCGGGGUCGCGUGCACCUGGGCGGCCAGGGAGGCUCCAGUGCCCGGGAGAAAGGCAAGAAAACUGAGGCACAGAGAGAUUGUCACACAGCCAGUUUCUUUCAAAAUGAAGAUUCACGCAGUGAUUGUAACUGUCUUGAUGAGCCAGGUUGUAGUUUACAAAGUUUUAUUCCAGAAGGAAAAAAGCCACUUCACCUAGAAAUUUUGCAAACAAAUCAACUUUUACUCUGUGAGUAAUCCAGGGCCUAUCAAGACUACAUUUUAGUUGACUGCAAGGCCUCUGAGGCACGGGAAUUCACAGCUGAGUU